CCUUGGCAUAACAUUAAAUUAUAAACUGGAAUGUGAGAAACAGGGUAGCAGUGGACCUAUGGUCGAUCCUUGCUUUGGCUUACUCAUUUGAAAAUCCAAGUUUUGCAUUUUUCCAGCUCUGCUAUGAGCCAUCUAUAGUAUCUUGAUCCCAUUUUGUUCUGAUCCUUUUUAUAUUCAGUUUAUCGUGAUAUCUUAUGUGCUACAUGGGAAGUCUAGUCACACCAGAAUAUUCUGACUGUAUCUUCAAAUUCUUAAUAAACCUCAAAAUAAUUUGCUCUAUAGAUCUAUAGAGUUUUGAAGGAUCACAAUUCACAUCAGCUACUGAUCUGAUUGUUCCAUUUUUCUUGGGGUUUUCUUGUUUAUCUUUGAACUCGAUAGGAAUGUGAAACAACAAAGAAAUCUUGUUCAAACUAUCGGGAGGGUUAAAAGAUGAUAAUGUAGAUAUUUUUUUUAUGGUAGCAAGUUAAGUAAAGUUCCAAAGGGUACAUCCACACUUGCAUCAGACCUCCCAAAAUCCCUGAAAAAGAUUCACCGUCCUCCCAUAUAUUAUAAGUACAAGAAAGCUUCCUAAUCGAAGCAAUAACUGAAAAGGGAUAACUACAAAAAUCUUUAUCUGUAGAAAUCCAUUAUGAACAGCCAAGUUUUUGCACAUUCAAAUACUUCUUCCUGUUCUCUUGAAACACCCCUUGAAAUUCUACUAUUUCUUUGCAAACAUAAGCUCCCUAAAAUUGCUUUAACAUUCCCCACAGUUAUUUUAGUUAAAUUACCAUUUAUAUUAAUAGGUUAUAAGAUUUAAUGAAAAUGUAAUUUUUUUUCCGUAAUGACAGACAACAUAUUAAUGAAGUAGCUGAUUUGCAUUUCUCUGAAGAUGCAUCCAUACUUUUAUGAAGCAUCAGACUUCAGAGUUGCAAAAAUAUUUCAAAGAGGAAGAAGAAGAAAAAGAAACCCACAACAUCAUUCUUAUUUCUUAUACCUUGUUGUGCCUCGUCAUAAGCAUUAUCAAGUGAAUUAAUUGAAAAGUUUAUGAUUUUAUCUAAUUCUUUUUGUCUUUCCCAUCAAAUCCAAAAGUUAUUUAUGUCUUAGCUCUUGGAUGUAAAUGUUCUUUCUUGACUUUGGAUGUCUAAGCUGUCAUGCUUCAAUA